AUUGAACGCUGGCGGCAUGCUUUACACAUGCAAGUCGAACGGCAGCACGGACUUCGGUUAGGUGGCGAGUGGCGAACGGGUGAGUAAUACAUCGGAACGUAGCCAGUAAUGGGGGAUAACUAGUCGAAAGAUUAGCUAAUACCGCAUACCACCUACGGGGGAAAGACGGGGAUCGCAAGAGCUCUUGUUAUUGGAGCGGCCGAUGGCUGAUUAGCUAGUUGGGGGGGUAAAGUCAUACCAAGGCGACGAUCAGUAACCGGUCUUAGAGGACGAUACGCUACACUGGAACUGAGACACGGUCCAGACUCCUACGGGAGGCAGCAGUGGGGAAUCUUGGACAAUGGGCGAAAGCCUGAUCCAGCAAUGCCGCGUGCGUGAAGAAGGCCUUCGGGUUGUAAAGCGCUUUUGUCUGGGAGCAAAUCCUUGUGGCUAAUACCCACCGGGGAUGAGAGUACCAGAAGAAUAAGGACCGGCUAACUACGUGCCAGCCGCCGCAGUAA
rnacentral:rRNA from 1 species